GAUGAACGCUGGCGGCGUGCCUAAUACAUGCAAGUCGAGCGAACAGACGAGGAGCUUGCUCCUCUGACGUUAGCGGCGGACGGGUGAGUAACACGUGGAUAACCUACCUAUAAGACUGGGAUAACUUCGGGAAACCGGAGCGAAUACCGGAUAAUCUAUUAAACCGCAUGGUUCAAUAGUGAAAGACGGUUUUGCUGUCACAUAUAGAUGGAUCCCCGCCGCAUUAGCUAGUUGGUAAGGUAACGGCUUACCAAGGCAACGAGGCGUAGCCGAGCUGAGAGGGUGGUCGCGCACACUGGAACUGAGACACGGUCCAGACUCCGACGGGAGGCAGCAGUAGGGCCUCUUCCGCAAUGGGCGAAAGCUUGACGGAGCAACGCCGCGUGAGUGAUGAAGGUCUUCGGAUCGUAAAACUCUGUUAUUAGGGAAGAACAAAUGUGUAAGUAACUAUGCACGUCUUGACGGUACCUGAUCAGAAAGCCCCGGCUAACUACGUG
rnacentral:rRNA from 1 species